AGCUAGACACUCACAUAUGCAGAGUAAAUCCUAACAAGUCUUAGAGAAGGAACAGGGAGAAGUGCAAAGCAAUCCCAAGCAGGACUCGGGAGAGAAGAAGGGAAGACAGGCUGGGGAGACAGACUUCUGCAUUCCUUUUCACAAAAUCUAAAAUUAGUGUCUUCUGCAUGUUUUUUUUUUUUCUCUACACAUGCAAGGGUACCCUGCUGAGAAGGAACCAAAAGAGCAGAUGGGUGAGUUCACAGAUGGCAGACGGAGGGAUUGGAGAAAUCCUUGCUGACAGUCUCCAAAGGCUGGCCCAGCAGGCAACUUCACCCCACCUCCACCUUGGUCUGCACUGAAUGCUUUCCUGGGAGCCUUUGGGCCUCUGACUUUGGACUGCUCUUGUUUCCUGGAAGAUAGAGUGGAUGCAGGAGCUGACUGCCAAAAGGGUCCAUUGCACAGAUAAUAGAUAAGAACGCUGAGGCUGGAUUUGUAGGAUCACAUCUAGAAAGGCACUGACCUUGAUGUUUCCUCACCUCCCCAAACUCCAGGGACUCCGAUGCUGGGGAGAAGAGCCUCCUCCCCGUCUCUCUUGAGAUGUCUGCAGUGCAGAUCAGCAUGGCAGCUGGCUCCUACCUACAGACACUUCUCAAUAGGUCUCUGACUCGCCCUUUGCCACUGUUAUGCUAGGUGAGUGAUGGGGAAAUGUGGUUGGCCUCCUGAGAUUCAACAGUGACACGUGCACAGAAGGGAAUGGGUGUCGCAGCUACUGCAUGCUAAGUUGUAUAGAACAAGUGCUGGGGGACCCUCCUUUUCAAACCUGUUCCUGAUAGCUUUAAAAAGUGUGACACAAGAUUGUAAGCCAAGUAAGAUCAGGACAGAUGCACCAAUCUUUUGAUUUCUACUCAUUCAUUCAAUGCGUAUUUGUUAAGCAUCUACUUUUGUGCCAGGCACAGUUAGGCAUCAGGUACGUGGAUGGGAUCUUUGUCCUCAAUGAGUCAAGGGAAGUGAUGCACAUUCACCAAGAGGGCAAAGGAAUAAUUACAAGGUGAGGUGCAUGCUUUGAAGAAAAGAAAUGAGAUGCUAUAUAAGGAACUUACUCUGCUAAUGAUAAGGCCAAGAGAGUCACUAAGAAGGUGAUCCUUGGGCAUAAGGAAGCAGAUUCUAGGUGAAGGACCAGGAAGAUACAACUGGUCUUGUGAUAGUAGUCUUCAUGUGGUAAGUUUUUGAUCAGAAUUUUUUUAAAAAAUCAAGGAAAUACCAGAUUUAUUUGGAUUUAGUAAGGACAACAUUCAUUAACAUCUACUAUGGUCAGUACCUGCCCAGGGAAACUCAUCAGGAAGUGGCUGAUGUGGUAUUUGAGCUCAGUCAUGUCCUCCUAAGAAGCUCUCCAUAAAACUUUACAUUGGCUCUUAACAAAGAAUCUCAUAAACAUGGAGAAAGGGGAACAAUUGCCAGCCUGUGUUUGGAAAGGUUUUCACAAUUGUUUUGUAAGUAUUCCCCCAUAAAAAAGAAGUAUAA